AUGCAGUCAAUCAAAGUACACCAGGUUUCAAAAUACUGGCUAUUGUUGACAUUACAAAAACUGCAUAGACUUUUCAAAAUAAAAACAAUCUCUCACUGCUCCUCUCACUGCUCCUGCUCCUCUCACUGCUCCUGCUCCCGCUCCUCUCACUGCUCCUGCUCCUCUCACUGCUCCUCUCACUGCUCCUGCUCCCGCUCCUCUCACUGCUCCUGCUCCUCUCACUGCUCCUCUCACUGCUCCUGCUCCCGCUCCUCUCACUGCUCCUGCUCCCCUCACUGCUCCUCUCACUGCUCCUGCUCCCGCUCCUCUCACUGCUCCUGCUCCUCUCACUGCUCUCACUGCUCCUGCUCCUCUCACUGCUCCUGCUCCCGCUCCUCUCACUGCUCCUGCUCCCCUCACUGCUCCUCUCACUGCUCCUGCUCCUGCUCCUCUCACUGCAUCUCUCACUGCUCCGGCUCCUCUCACUGCUCCUGCUCCUCUCACUGCAUCUCUCACUGCUCCUGCUCCUCUCACUGCUCCUCUCACUGCUCCUGCUCCUCUCACUGCUCCUGCUCCCCUCACUGCUCCUCUCACUGCUCCUGCUCCUCUCACUGCUCCUGCUCCCGCUCCUCUCACUGCUCCUGCUCCCUCACUGCUCCUCUCACUGCUCCUGCUCCUGCUCCUCUCACUGCUCCUCUCACUGCUCCUGCUCCUCUCACUGCUCCUGCUCCCCUCACUGCUCCUGCUCCCCUCACUGCUCCUCUCACUGCUCCUGCUCCUCUCACUGCUCCUGCUCCCCUCACUGCUCCUCUCACUGCUCCUGCUCCCGCUCCUCUCACUGCUCCUGCUCCCCUCACUGCUCCUGCUCCUCUCACUGCAUCUCUCACUGCUCAGGCUCCUCUCACUGCUCCUGCUCCUCUCACUGCAUCUCUCACUGCUCCUGCUCCUCUCACUGCAUCUCUCACUGCUCCCGCUCCUCUCACUGCAUCUCUGACUGCUCCCGCUCCUCUCACUGCAUCUCUCACUGCUCCUCUCACUGCUCCUCUCACUGCAUCUCUCACUGCUCCUCUCACUGUUCACUGCUCCCGCUCCUCUCACUGCUCCUCUCACUGCUCCCGCUCCUCUCACUGCAUCUCUCACUGCAUCUCUCACUGCUCCCGCUCCUCUCACUGCAUCUCUCACUGCAUCUCUCACUGCUCCGGCUCCUCUCACUGUCACUGCCUCUCACUGCAUCCCUGCUCGCCUCACUGCCUGCUCUCUCACUGCUCCCGCUCCUCUCACUGCUCCUGCUCCCCUCACUGCAUCUCUCACUGCUCCUCUCACUGCAUCUCUGACUGCUCCUGCUCCUCUCACUGCAUCUCUCACUGCUCCUCUCACUGCUCCUCUCACUGCUCCUCUCACUGCUCCUGCUCCUCUCACUGCUCCUCUCACUGA
rnacentral:lncRNA from 1 species